rnacentral:rRNA from 1 species
GACGAACGCUAGCGGCGUGCUUAACACAUGCAAGUCGAACGGAAAGGCCCUGCUUUUGUGGGGUGCUCGAGUGGCGAACGGGUGAGUAACACGUGAGUAACCUGCCCUUGACUUUGGGAUAACUUCAGGAAACUGGGGCUAAUACCGGAUAGGAGCUCCUGCUGCAUGGUGGGGGUUGGAAAGUUUCGGCGGUUGGGGAUGGACUCGCGGCUUAUCAGCUUGUUGGUGGGGUAGUGGCUUACCAAGGCUUUGACGGGUAGCCGGCCUGAGAGGGAGACCGGCCACAUUGGGACUGAGAUACGGCCCAGACUCCUACGGGAGGCAGCAGUGGGGAAUAUUGCACAAUGGGCGGAAGCCUGAUGCAGCAACGCCGCGUGCGGGAUGACGGCCUUCGGGUUGUAAACCGCUUUCGCCUGUGACGAAGCGUGAGUGACGGUAAUGGGUAAAGAAGCACCGGCUAACUACGUG